CCUACGGGGGGCAGCAGUGGGGAAUAUUGGACAAUGGGGGCAACCCUGAUCCAGCCAUGCCGCGUGUGUGAAGAAGGCCCUCGGGUUGUAAAGCACUUUCAGUGAGGAAGAACGCCUGGUGGUUAAUACCCAUCAGGAAAGACAUCACUCACAGAAGAAGCACCGGCUAACUCCGUGCCAGCAGCCGCGGUAAUACGGAGGGUGCGAGCGUUAAUCGGAAUUACUGGGCGUAAAGCGCGCGUAGGUGGCUUGAUAAGCCGGUUGUGAAAGCCCCGGGCUCAACCUGGGAACGGCAUCCGGAACUGUCAAGCUAGAGUGUAGGAGAGGAAGGUAGAAUUCCCGGUGUAGCGGUGAAAUGCGUAGAGAUCGGGAGGAAUACCAGUGGCGAAGGCGGCCUUCUGGACUGACACUGACACUGAGGUGCGAAAGCGUGGGUAGCAAACAGGAUUAGAUACCCUAGUAGUC
rnacentral:rRNA from 1 species